rnacentral:lncRNA from 1 species
AUGGAGAGGAUGUGGCUGCAAGAUGUCCGACAGAUUUGCAGGGUCACUUGGAGAUUGAAGAUCUCAUGAGAAGUUUGGUCUCCCCCCAUGGAGGAAACUCAGUUCAGUUAGGAGACUUGCUCCACCACCCCUUUUUCUGGACCCAUGAGAGGUAAGCGUCAUUAACAAUAGUUCUAAGAUCUCAAACAAUAGAUACAAUAGCUGGAAUGCUCCUGCCAAAACCUCCCCGCUCUGGGAUAAUAAAUGUGCUCACCUUCAACUCUAUAGCAGGUAUACAUUCUUGAAGGCCAUCCCUUCCUCUCUUUCAAUUCCACAGCAGGUUUGAGUUUCUUGUGGACGUUGGGAAUAAUCCAGACAUCGAAAAAUACAAUGCUGAGAGUCAGAUUGUGAAAGCUUUGAAUUGCAAUAAGGCAACAACUGAGAAGCACUUCUACCAGUGGACUAAGAAGUGUCAUCAUAGUCCUUUCUGCUUGAUGGUUGUUUGGACUACUGGCUGUAUUCAACUUUUACUCAAUCUGCUCAUGUUCUGUGUCCACCAUGUCUUCAAAGACAGGAUACCUAUUGCUGUUGACAAGACUGAAGGUAUCUAUAAAUGCUUUUUAUUACUUAACCAUUGCA